rnacentral:rRNA from 1 species
CAACUUUCAGCAACGGAUCUCUUGGCUCUCGCAUCGAUGAAGAACGCAGCGAAAUGCGAUAAGUAAUGUGAAUUGCAGAAUUCAGUGAAUCAUCGAAUCUUUGAACGCACCUUGCGCCCCUGGGUAUUCCCAGGAGCAUGCCUGUUUGAGUGUCGUGG